CCUACGGGUGGCUGCAGUGGGGAAUAUUGGACAAUGGGGGGAACCCUGAUCCAGCCAUGCCGCGUGUGUGAAGAAGGCCCUCGGGUUGUAAAGCACUUUCAGUGAGGAAGAACGCCUGGUGGUUAAUACCCAUCAGGAAAGACAUCACUCACAGAAGAAGCACCGGCUAACUCCGUGCCAGCAGCCGCGGUAAUACGGAGGGUGCGAGCGUUAAUCGGAAUUACUGGGCGUAAAGCGCGUGUAGGUGGCUUGAUAAGCCGGUUGUGAAAGCCCCGGGCUCAACCUAGGAACGGCAUCCGGAACUGUCAAGCUAGAGUGCAGGAGAGGAAGGUAGAAUUCCCGGUGUAGCGGUGAAAUGCGUAGAGUUCGGGAGGAAUACCAGUGGCGAAGGCGGCCUUCUGGACUGACACUGACACUGAGGUGCGAAAGCGUGGGUAGCAAACAGGAUUAGAUACCCGGGUAGUC
rnacentral:rRNA from 1 species